UAAAACCUUGAGGCUUGAACACGUACGUUCUAGAAACAUACUACCAUCUAGCAUUCUAGCUAUCAUAGUAAACUAUGCUAGCUAUUUCGUACAGACUACAGGUAGUCGGGCGGACUUUCUAUAACAAAGAAGAAGCGCCCGCACCCUCGCGUCGUCGGUGAAUAUUAUCACAAUCGCCGGUAUACGCCAUAACCUUAGACCGACCGAAAAAACCACCACCACCACAGCAACAACAACAAUAACAACAACGACAACAACAACAAAGGACGGAGUUAGUCGACCGGGACCGUGGCAGUCGUGGUGGUCACGACUCACCACAUACGCCGCGCGCGCGAAACGAAGACGAGACGAACACGAUAAUAAUAUAUAUCAGUGAUACGGAGACAGCAUACAAAAAGGCUCAAAGCUCGCAGUAUUAUUAUUAUUAAUUUUCGUAUUGGAAUAAUAAUUUAUAAUAUUACAAUAAUAAUAAUAAUUAUUAUUAUUAUUAUACAUGGAACUACUCGUCACUGCCGUCGCCAUGGCAACCACCGUCGGCUUACGCGAUCCAUUAUGGCGGGACCCCGGGCUUGACCUUGUAAAAUUUUUAUCUACCGGCGGGACCCGGCAACCGGCGUCAAACGUUCAUUUUCGACGGGGCUGCGCAAGUACGGUUUUCGAAAACGACGACGGCCGGUCGACGCAAUAGACGCGUUUGUUACUUAGGAUCGGGACGUUUAAGUUGCCGCCAAAAAAUUUGCUCACCUGUGCGUCGUAAACGUGUCCGUCCGUAGUUAACCGGUACGCUAUCUCGGCCGCCGUGAUGAUUCUCUAUCAGUUCCCUCUGCCGUCGUGGUAAUGUCCAGUGUUGGCGGUGGUUUGAGGGUUACUGAUUACGGGGUAGUGUGCCGGUAAUAUUACAAUAACAAUAAUAUAACGAAACAAAAUAAAGAGUUAGCAGCCGAAGACGAUAUUUUACGCGGUAUACGGUCCGUCACUGGAUCGACUGAACAUCUACAGUAUUAUUAACGUUGGAACGAGUACAAAAUGCCUGGAGAGUAAUUAUCGGCGCUCGUGGUGACUAGCGCGAGUGAUACGUGAAAUCGCGAAAAAGAAAGAAAAAAACCAAAAAUAAUAUAAACACGACGAGAAAUUGGCGCGCUAGGUGUGGAACGACCGGGAACGACGAUCAUUCGUGUGUGCGCGUACACUGCAGUGGGCGGCGCGGGGGAGCGGUGGGCGAUGGAGGCGAGAGCGCUGCGCGUAAAUACGUUAUACGGCCGAAGUGCCGGACAAAGAACGCGUUUUCCGUACCCGGCCUCGGCGGACCAAUGGUAGCGGUUCCCGCGACCGCCGCGCUUCCCACCAAUAGGACCCAUUCAUCGCACGCCGGUGGAUCGCCGGGUUGGCAACACCGUCGACUCUUCCGCCGAGUUACCACAUCGCCCGGCAAAUAAAAGUCGAUAAUCGUCGCACGCGCUACGCGCGGCUGUCGGUCGAACCGAAGCCGCUGCCUGAACAAUGUGCAUGUACCUCGCGUUGUCGCCACCGUUUUUCACGGCGCGUUUGAUUGUUCAAUUGUUAGUUGUUACCGCUUACCGCCAUUACCGUGGGGGGACGGUGAUUGUCGAUUCCCCAAUUUUGGGGUACUUGAUUACGCUGUUGUCGAUUCGGCGAUUAAAAACUUUUUUUUUACGUCCUCGGAUGUGGUUCGUCAAUAAAUUUAUUGUAUAUCACUGUCGAAUUACUCGAAAUUAGACCUCGUUACAUUAAUUUAUAAGCAAAACAUAUUUUAUAAUAUAUUUACAUAGAUGGGCUACGCGAAGACUGUUACUGAAUAUAUUAAAAUAAUAUUUAGUCAACGUUUUAUAUAGGGGACAUGUGUGAAUGUAUAAAAAAUAUAAUCGUUAUUUAAUUUUA